GAUGAAGAACGUAGCGAAAUGCGAUAAGUAAUGUGAAUUGCAGAAUUCAGUGAAUCAUCGAAUCUUUGAAUGCACAUUGCGCCCCCUGGUAUUCCGGGGGGCAUGCCUGUUCGAGCGUCAUUUCACCACUCAAGCCUCGCUUGGUAUUGGGCAACGCGGUCCGCCGCGUGCCUCAAAUCGACCGGCUGGGUCUUCUGUCCCCUAAGCGUUGUGGAAACUAUUCGCUAAAGGGUGUUCGGGAGGCUACGCCGUAAAACAACCCCAUUUCUAAGGUUGACCUCGGAUCAGGUAGGGAUACCCGCUGAACUUAAGCAUAUCAAUAAGCGGAGGA
rnacentral:misc_RNA from 1 species